AUGUGGAUAGUUCAGUUGGCUAGAGUGUGGUGCUGAUAACACCAAGGUUGCAGGUCCGAUCCAGUUGCAUAUCCCUGCAUUGCGGG